rnacentral:rRNA from 1 species
UACAGAGGUCUCAAGCGUUUGUUCGGAUUCAUUGGGCGUAAAGGGCGCGUAGGCGGCGGGGUAAGUCGGGUGUGAAAUCUCAGAGCUCAACUCUGAAAUGGCACUUUGAUACUGCUCUGCUAGAGGACUGGAGAGGAGAUUGGAAUUCACGGUGUAGCAGUGAAAUGCGUAGAUAUCGUGAGGAAGACCGGUGGCGAAGGCGGAUCUCUGGACAGUUCCUGACGCUGAGGCGCGAAGGCCAGGGGAGCAAACGGG